rnacentral:rRNA from 1 species
UACGGAGGGUGCGAGCGUUAAUCGGAAUUACUGGGCGUAAAGCGCACGUAGGCUGUUGUGUAAGUCAGGGGUGAAAUCCCACGGCUCAACCGUGGAACUGCCCUUGAUACUGCAUGACUAGAAUCCGGGAGAGGGUGGCGGAAUUCCAGGUGUAGGAGUGAAAUCCGUAGAUAUCUGGAGGAACAUCAGUGGCGAAGGCGGCCACCUGGACCGGUAUUGACGCUGAGGUGCGAAAGCGUGGGGAGCAAACA